AACGUAGGUGGCAAGCGUUAUCCGGAUUUAUCUGGGCGUAAAGCGUGUGCAGGCGGGGGUACAAGUGGUGUAUGAAAUUUCCCAGCUUAAACUGGGAAGGGUUAUGCCAGACUGUACUUCUGGAGUGCGAGAGGAGGGGCGUGGAAUUCCGGGUGUAGUGGUGAAAUGCGUAGAUAUUCGGAAGAACACCAGUGGCGAAGGCGGCUCACUGGACCGGCAGUUGACGCUGAGGUGCGAAAGCG
rnacentral:rRNA from 1 species